GAUCCUGGCUUAGGAUGAACGCUAGCGGCAGGCUUAACACAUGCAAGUCGAGGGGCAUCGGGAGUAGCAAUACUGCCGGCGACCGGCGCAAGGGUGCGUAACGCGUGAGCAACAUGCCCGUAUCAGGGGGAUAAUCCAUGGAAACGUGGUCUAAUACCCCAUAGUAAUUAUGUAAGGCAUCUUAUAUAAUUUAAAGCUUUGGUGGAUACGGAUUGGCUCGCGUGACAUUAGCUAGAUGGUAAGGUAACGGCUUACCAUGGCUACGAUGUCUAGGGGUUCUGAGAGGAAGGUCCCCCACACUGGAACUGAGACACGGUCCAGACUCCUACGGGAGGCAGCAGUGAGGAAUAUUGGACAAUGGAUGGAAAUCUGAUCCAGCCAUGCCGCGUGCAAGGAAGACGGCCCUAUGGGUUGUAAACUGCUUUUGUAUGGGAGCAAUAAGGGCUACGUGUAGUCCGAUGAGAGUACCAUACGAAUAAGCACCGGCUAACUCCGUGCCAGCAGCAGC
rnacentral:rRNA from 1 species